ensembl:antisense 4930445N08Rik RIKEN cDNA 4930445N08 gene
GAGUAUCCUCCGCGCUAGUGUAGGCUGUCCGUCCUCCGGGCACCACAGGGCAGGGCAGGAAGGUCGUCCUAUCACCCAGGUAUGGGUUAUGCAGAAGUGCUCAAGAGCACUAGCCUUGCAAAAUUACAGUUCCAAGUACUGCAUGUGAUAUUUGAAAUAUAUGUUUUAUGAACUCUUAAAGAAAUACCACACAUAAUCUCUGCUUAUAUUGUAACACACUAUAAACAACUGGUAUAAUGUUUACCUCAUGGGUGCUGUUUGUACCAUAGAAGCUCUAUCCUUCAGAAUAAUUUUAAAUUAUUUUUAAAAUAAA